rnacentral:lncRNA from 1 species
CCUCCUACUAUAGAGAUACCCCUAUACCCUUCUAGACAACAAUAUAGACAGAUCCCCUCCUACUAUAGAGAUACCCCUAUACCCUUCUAGACUGCAGAUUGGUGACACAGUAACAGAUAUUCUUACCCAAAGCUAAAUUAAAAUGUAUUUUUUCAGAUGUCUGAGCCUUUCCAUGAUCUUGAUAAAACAGUUGAGUCGCCAUAUCAAUACCAGCGGGGUCCCUUUAGCUAGCCCAGAUCAGUUCCCAAUCUCAUAACUAGCUACCAAGAAGCCAUUUCAGGCUAUCAAUCAAGUUGGAGUAGCUAGCUUGUUUAACUAUCUUAGCUGGCAUGUCUGCUGGACUUUAGAAAAGUUAGUAAUAAUUAAAUGUACUUAGAAAGGAAUGUGAGUCUUAUUAUCUUUUACCCAGAUUUUAGCAGAGAUGCAGAAAUGCACAUUUAGUUUCUUAUAAAAAAAGAACCAGCAGACAGCUCAAGAGGUAUGCUUAGAUAUGCAGAAAAAUAUACAUAUUUUUGACAUAAGCAUAAUGAUUAUGGCUCUAGAUUGCAGGAAAAAGCUGUUUCAGGUGUUUCCAACCCCUGUACUUUGUGCCAACUCAGACUGGAGAAUUCUCCAACCCCCGUACUUUGUGCCAACUCAGACUGGAGAAUUCUCCAACCCCCGUACUUUGUGCCAACUCAGACUGGAGAAUUCUCCAACCCCUGUACUUUGUGCCAACUCAGACUGGAGAAUUCUCCAACCCCUGUACUUUGUGCCAACUCAGACUGGAGAAUUCUCCAACCCCUGUACUUUGUGUCAACUCAGACUGUGCGGGUGCAUAAUUUCCCUGGUUACAUGGUCUUUUCUCUUCAUUGGAAUUACGUAUUUACUACUUGAUUAUUAUAACUGUACAUAGACUUGAUUUACAUACUGUACACCUAGUAUUUAAGUCUGAUAAGAGAAAGGUGGGAGAUGUGGAAUGUGAUUUCUCUGUGUGUAAAGUCUGUUUUCUAACUGGCUAUAUUUACACUGCUAACAUCACCUGAAGGUACUCUCUGUGGUGCUGAAAUGGAUCCAUAGCUCCAGAUGACAAGAAUUAGAACAGUCUUUUCAUUCUGCACCAAAGGGCCGGCGACCCCUUGCUUCAGGGCGGGGCAGGUAGCCUAGUGGUUAGAGCGUUGGACUAGUAACCUAAAGGUUGCAAGAUUGAAUCCCUGAGCUGACAAGGUUAAAAUCUGUCGUUCUGCCUGUUCCUAGGCCGUCAUUGAAAAGAAGAAUUAGUUCUUAGCUGACGCCUAGUUAAAUAAAGGUAAAAUAAAAACUCUACACUCUUAGGUCAACUCAAAAGGUCUAACCCUCCUUUAACUAGAUCUAGCUCAGCAACUUUAAAAGGGCUCAGACAUGCCGAUAUAAUUCGCUGGCUGAGUACUUGGGGAACGUAAUUUGCGAAUAGUGCACGCACCGAGUCGGCUUGGAGAAUCGCGCGAAACAAUUUACCGAACGAUCGGCAGACGAACGCUAGAUCGCGAUGUUUGCGAGCCCUAAACCUCGUUUAGCUAUAAUAGAUCAAAACUCACUUAACCAACUCAAAGUUCUUCACACAUGUAGAAUGUGUCAUCAGUACUCCAUGAGACAGUGAGAAAAAUACUGUAUGUACACGUAGUUUGUAAACAUGCUUGUCAAUCAGUGGAGGCUGCUGAGGGAUGCCACCAACCUCAUGUGUUGUCAUUAUACGUCAAUGUGAAUAAACAGAAAACAUUAACCGUUUGAAGAUAUGAACUCAGAAUGUUCAAACUCACCUUCCUGCUCUUACAUUUUACAUUUUAGUCAUUUAGCAGACGCUCUUAUCCAGAGCGACUUACAAAUUGGCUCUUUAUUCAGGUUACAAUUACAUUACACAUUUUAAUAUCCUAGGACUUCAGUUGCAUUACCUUUCCACUUAAAAAUGGAGUACAAGCAAAUUAUAUUUUUUUUUACAGUAGUCGAAGUGAUAUAUUGUACAAAAAAGAAAGUUUAGAUUUUCUUAUCUACUCGUUCCUUGUUGAAGUUUCAUCUUUCUCCAUGGUUAUAAUACAUCAUCCAUGCUCCAAUCAUGAGAUCAAAACUCUUUCUGCAGUGUGUUGGACCUUCAACAACUGACACUGUUCAAAGAAAUGCACCUUUAUGAAUUGAUAAUCAUUUUAUUUUAUUUGCUUUGACUGUCUAUUGUGUUGGUUAAUUUCUUUACAAUAAAAUGAGAGAAACUUAUCACAAGUCAGAGUUGUACUUAAACUAAAUCUUUAUUCACUUAUUAAUAAGGGAGCAGGUCAAUACAACACACACAUAUAAAGUGAAUCGAUUGAGUGCUCGACGAUAAUGAUGGCUGGUCGACGAAUCACCCUCAGACGAUUCAUUUAGAGGUGAAUCACCCUCAGACGAUUCGUUUAGAGGUGAAUCACCCUCAGACGAUUCGUUUAGAGGUGAAUCACCCUCAGACGAUUCGUUUAGAGGUGAAUCACCCUCAGAUGAUUCAUUUAGAGCCCCCGAGACAAAAGUACAAAGGUCUUUUACAGCCAAGAUACACCCCUUUCAGUCUACAUGACGAACAACAGAUGUAUGGAAUGGGUCACAAGGUUAAGAUUAGUAUGAAAGAUACUUGUUAUUCACAGCAGACAGUAUCUGCUGUAAAAACAGUACUCAUUGUGUAAAGACCAGGGUCUGGCCCUGAGGUCAUCUCCCCCUGGUACCAUAUAGAACAGAAACAUUAACUCAUGCUAUGGAAUGCGGUCUCUUUAGGUUUUAUCACCCAAAAGACAUCGGAAAUCUCCUGUUAGUGUUAAAUCUCCCAGAGGCCCACUUUCAGUUCACACAGACACAAUAGAGUUAUAAGAACCCUCUAUGCUGUUGCAUAAAACAGCCAUUUGAUGCAAUAAAAGUAUUAUAACAAUCUUGUAAUUUCUCUCACAGUUUUCAUACAGUGUUGGGGGGGUUGUCUCCCUGUCUGCAUGCUGCCGUCUAUCUGUCUGUCUGCCUGCUGCCAUUGGACUGUCUGUCUGCAUGCUGCCGUCUGUCUGUCUGUCUGCCUGCUGCCAUUGGACUGUCUGUCUGCAUGCUGCCGUCUGUCUGUCUGCCUGCCUGCUGCCAUUGGACUGUCUGUCUGCAUGCUGCCGUCUGUCUGUCUGUCUGCCUGCCUGCCUGCUGCCAUUGGACUGUCUGUCUGCCUGCUGCCGUCUGUCUAUCUGUCUGCCUGCCUGCUGCCAUUGGACUGUCUGUCUGCAUGCUGCCGUCUGUCUGUCUGUCUGCCUGCCUGCCUGCUGCCAUUGGACUGUCUGUCUGCAUGCUGCCGUCUGUCUGUCUGCCUGCCUGCCUGCUGCCAUUGGACUGUCUGCCUGCCUGCUGCCGUCUAUCUGUCUGUCUGCCUGCUGCCGUCUAUCUGUCUGUCUGCCUGCUGCCGUUGGACUGAGCCGUAAACAUAAUGACCGCUGGCCGGGGCUGCUGUCAGUCACUCUCUUGCAGGUAGACUCCGUUUUGUUCAAGAAAACUAAAACAAAGUCAAUCUUUAUGGGAAGCUCAGACUUCCUACCCACUCACUCUCACUAAGUGCUGGUUUCCCAGACCUGGUAGGGAGGGCAUCCACUCAUCAUUCAUCCCUGGUCACCAGUGGCAUGGAAAGGGGGUUCUUUAACAAGCAUUAUACAUUAACCUCUACCAAACUAAACAAACAUGUUUGAUUAAAUGCAGAAAGUGGAUGUUUACCCCCCUGUCCUGCUUUUCCAGCGGACUGGUGUGGGACUAUCCUCCGUAGCCUGCUGUGGGCCAGAGGGGACGAUUCAGACAAAAUAAUACAACCAUCCAUGUGAAAAGGGAGGGGCGUAGGAAGGCAGCAGAGCGCUAGGCCGUGGCCUCGAUGGUGCAUUCUUUAGCCAGGUGACCAGACUUUCCACAGUUGUAGCAGUUGACUUCGCUGGCCUUGCUGCACUGGACGGCAACAUGGCCGAUCUCACCACACCUGGUGGGAGACAGAGAGGAGAGAGAGAUGAGGUUUAGCUAAGACAAGAGAGAGUGUUUUCAUUCAUUUGUUAUUCUGCUAUAACGUCUCAUCUUUUGGAAAGGUGAUGUUUAGGCCUGAUACCAACUAAUUUGUACCGGACACAGAAGUCCUGCCUGCUGAUCAACACACACACACACACACACACACACACACACACACACACACACACACACACACACACACACACACACACACACACCUGAUUCUUGAUGUCCAUUUAUAAAGCUGUUCAGGGCUGCCACAACUCAAACAUAUCACAGGGAAGCAGCUUAACGAUACACUGGCCAGUACACCUUGUAACAAAACAAUAUGUUCUCACAGCCCUUCUGGAUGUGUGUUAACUCACCUGUAACAUUUGACCUGGUCACAGCCCUUCUGGAUGUGUUAACUCACCUGUAACAUUUGACCUUGUCACAGCCCUUCUGGAUGUGUGAUAACUCACCUGUAACAUUUGACCUUGUCACAGCCCUUCUGGAUGUGUGAUAACUCACCUGUAACAUUUGACCUGGUCACAGCCCUUCUGGAUGUGUGAUAACUCACCUGUAACAUUUGACCUGGUCACAGCCCUUCUGGAUGUGUUAACUCACCUGUAACAUUUGACCUUGUCACAGCCCUUCUGGGUGUGUGUUAACUCACCUGUAACAUUUGACCUUGUCACAGCCCUUCUGGAUGUGUCCGAAGCCUCCACAGGAGUAGCACUUCUGCUCGUUGGCAUGGUCACAGUCCCGGGCCACAUGGCCGGCCUUGCCACAGUUAUAACAGACCUGUAUAGCAUUAUAACAUGAUAACAGUAACACAAUGACAUAACACCCCGGCCUUGCCACAGUUAUAACAGACCUGGAAAGCAUUAUAACAGUAACAAUUAAGAAUAUAAUCACCGGCCUUGCCACAGCGAUAACACACCUGCAUUAUAUUAGGGGCCUAUAAAACCUGCAUUAUAUUAGGGGCCUAUAAAACCUGCAUUAUAUUAG